rnacentral:rRNA from 1 species
UGAGGAAUAUUGGUCAAUGGCCGAGAGGCUGAACCAGCCAAGUCGCGUGAAGGAAGAAGGAUCUAUGGUUUGUAAACUUCUUUUAUAGGGGAAUAAAGUGGAGGACGUGUCCUUUUUUGUAUGUACCCUAUGAAUAAGCAUCGGCUAACUCCGUGCCAGCAGCCGCGGUAAUACGGAGGAUGCGAGCGUUAUCCGGAUUUAUUGGGUUUAAAGGGUGCGUAGGUGGUGAUUUAAGUCAGCGGUGAAAGUUUGUGGCUCAACCAUAAAAUUGCCGUUGAAACUGGGUUACUUGAGUGUGUUUGAGGUAGGCGGAAUGCGUGGUGUAGCGGUGAAAUGCAUAGAUAUCACGCAGAACUCCGAUUGCGAAGGCAGCUUACUAAACCAUAACUGACACUGAAGCACGAAAGCGUGGGGAUCAAACAG